AGUCGAACGGAAAGGCCCAGCUUGCUGGGUACUCGAGUGGCGAACGGGUGAGUAACACGUGGGUGAUCUGCCCUGAACUUUGGGAUAAGCCUGGGAAACUGGGUCUAAUACCGGAUAUGACCUUGGAGUGCAUGCUCUGGGGUGGAAAGCUUUUGCGGUUCAGGAUGGGCCCGCGGCCUAUCAGCUUGUUGGUGGGGUAAUGGCCUACCAAGGCGACGACGGGUAGCCGACCUGAGAGGGUGAUCGGCCACACUGGGACUGAGACACGGCCCAGACUCCUACGGGAGGCAGCAGUGGGGAAUAUUGCACAAUGGGCGCAAGCCUGAUGCAGCGACGCCGCGUGAGGGAUGACGGCCUUCGGGUUGUAAACCUCUUUCACCAGGGACGAAGCGCAAGUGACGGUACCUGGAGAAGAAGCACCGGCCAACUACGUGCCAGCAGCCGCGGUAAUACGUAGGGUGCGAGCGUUGUCCGGAAUUACUGGGCGUAAAGAGCUCGUAGGCGGUUUGUCGCGUCGUCUGUGAAAUUCUGCAACUCAAUUGUAGGCGUGCAGGCGAUACGGGCAGACUUGAGUACUACAGGGGAGACUGGAAUUCCUGGUGUAGCGGUGAAAUGCGCAGAUAUCAGGAGGAACACCGGUGGCGAAGGCGGGUCUCUGGGUAGUAACUGACGCUGAGGAGCGAAAGCGUGGGUAGCGAACAGGAUUAGAUACCCUGGUAGUCCACGCCGUAAACGGUGGGUACUAGGUGUGGGGCUCAUUUCACGAGUUCCGUGCCGUAGCUAACGCAUUAAGUACCCCGCCUGGGG
rnacentral:rRNA from 1 species